GUGGGCGGGUACAAUUUUCCCACCGGGAAACAGCUAUGGCCAGGAUUUCGACAAAGUCAGAAUUAACCCUCCCAAAGGGGAUAGUUCCUGCAGUUUAAAACAAUUCGGCCUGUGGCCAAGCAGCCGCGGUAAUCCCAGCUCCAAUGGCGUAUAUUAAAGUUGUUGCCGUUAAAAAGCUCGUAGUCGAAUUUCGGCGCCUGAUGGCCGGUCCGCUUUCUUGGUGUGUACUUGCUCAUCGGGCGCUUACCUCCUGGUGAACUCUGAUGUCCUUUACUGGGUGUCAGAGCAAACCAGGACGUUUACUUUGAAAAAAUUAGAGUGUUCAAAGCAGGCCUACGCCCGAAUACAUUAGCAUGGAAUAAUAGAAUAGGACGCGCGUUCCCAUUUUGUUGGUUUCUGAGAUCGCCGUAAUGAUUAAUAGGGAUAGUUGGGGGCAUUUGUAUUCCGUCGUCAGAGGUGAAAUUCUUGGAUUGCCGGAAGACAAACUACUGCGAAAGCAUUUGCCAAGGAUGUUUUCAUUGAUCAAGAACGAAGGAAGGGGGAUCGAAAACGAUCAGAUACCGUUGUAGUCUCUUCUGUAAACUAUGCCAAUUGGGGAUUAGCACAGGAUUUUCAAUGACUGUGUUAGCACCCGAAGAGAAAUCUUUAAAUGAGGUUCGGGGGGGAGUAUGGUCGCAAGGCUGAAACUUAAAAGAAUUGACGGAAGGGCACCACCAGGUGUGGAGCCUGCGGCUUAAUUUGACUCAACACGGGGAAACUCACCAGGUCCAGACACAAUAAGGAUUGACAGAUUGAUAGCUCUUUCUUGAUCUUGUGGUUGGUGGUGCAUGGCCGUUCUUAGUUGGUGGAGUGAUUUGUCUGGUUAAUUCCGAUAACGAACGAGACCUUAACCUGCUAAAUAGACCAGUCGACUUUGGUUGACUGCUGUCUUCUUAGAGGGACUAUCAGCGUUUAGCUGAUGGAAGUUUGAGGCCAUAACAGGUCUGUGAUGCCCC
rnacentral:rRNA from 1 species